CGGUGGAUGAUGUGGUUUAAUUCGAUGCAACGACGAAAACCUUACCCACCUUUGACAUGGCAGGAAUCCUAAAGAGAUUUGGAGUGCUCGAAAGAGAACCUGCACACAGGUGCUGCAUGGCUGUCGUCAGCUCGUGUCGUGAGAUGUUGGGUUAAGUCCCGCAACGAGCGCAACCCUUGCCAUUAGUUGCUACGAAAGGGCACUCUAAUGGGACUGCCGGUGACAAACCGGAGGAAGGUGGGGAUGACGUCAAGUCCUCAUGGCCCUUAUAGGUGGGGCUACACACGUCAUACAAUGGCCGGUACAGAGGGUAGCCAACCCGCGAGGGGGAGCCAAUCCCACAAAGCCGGUCGUAGUCCGGAUCGCAGUCUGCAACUCGACUGCGUGAAGUCGGAAUCGCUAGUAAUCGCGGAUCAGCAUGUCGCGGUGAAUACGUUCCCGGGUCUU
rnacentral:rRNA from 1 species